GACGAACGCUGGCGGCGCGCCUAACACAUGCCAGUCGAGCGAUGAAAUUUUAACCGAUCUCUUCGGAGAGAAGAUAAAAUGGAUUAGCGGCGGACGGGUGAGUAACACGUGAGAAACCUGCCUUUCACAAGGGGAUAGCCUCGGGAAACCGGGAUUAAUACCCUAUGACACAUUUCCUUCGCAUGGAAGAAAUGUUAAAACUCCGGUGGUGAAAGAUGGUCUCGCGCCUGAUUAGCUAGUUGGUGGGGUAACGGCCCACCAAGGCCAUGAUCAGUAACCGGGCUGAGAGGGUGAACGGUCACAUUGGAACUGAGACACAGUCCAAACUCCUACGGGAGGCAGCAGUGGGGAAUAUUGCACAAGGGAGGAAACUCUGAUGCAGCGACGCCGCGUGAGCGAUGAAGGCUUUCGAGUCGUAAAGCUCUGUCCUAUGGGAAGAUAAUGACGGUACCAUAGGAGGAAGCCCCGGCUAACUACGUG
rnacentral:rRNA from 1 species